rnacentral:rRNA from 1 species
UACGAAGGGUGCAAGCGUUACUCGGAAUUACUGGGCGUAAAGCGUGCGUAGGUGGUGCGUUAAGUCUGUCGUGAAAGCCCCGGGCUCAACCUGGGAAUGGCGAUGGAUACUGGCGCGCUAGAGUGCGGUAGAGGAUGGUGGAAUUCCCGGUGUAGCGGUGAAAUGCGUAGAGAUCGGGAGGAACACCCGUGGCGAAGGCGGCCAUCUGGACCAGCACUGACGCUGAGGCACGAAAGCGUGGGGAGCAAACAGG